AUGGGGCACAGGCACUGCAUACGAGAAAGACAACAACUGUGAAACAUGAACAUGUUAACUGUGUUUGUCCUAAUAGCAAUAUCUGUUGUAGAUUCUAGUGGUCAGACUCUGACUGAAUCUGAGCCUGUAGUUCUUAAACCCGGAGACCCUCACAAACUGACCUGCACGUACUCUGGCUUUAGCAGUGAUCCUUGGAUGGCUUGGAUCAGACAAGGUCCAGGAAAAGCACUGGAGUGGCUGGCUCUAAUUCAUCCCACCACAAGUAGUGAUACAUACUACGCUCAGUCCAUUCAGGGAAGGUUCACAAUUUCAAGAGACAACAGCAAGAAGCAGAGUUACCUACAGAUGAACAGCCUGAAAACCGAAGACUCUGCUGUGUACUACUGUGCUCGAUAGCCACAGUGAGAGUUAAAGCUUAAGUGCAGCACAAGAACACAUGCCAUGUUUAUGGAUCAGGGGACAAAGUGUAACUGCAGUUCAGAUAGGACCAAAA